ACGAUUAAACUAAGCCUAUUGUAGAUCCGGGCUAAUACAGUGUCCAUUAGUGUGAGAAAGAACAUAUCAGAGUGUCUCACUCACACUAGUGGACACUGUUACACUUGGUUUGUUCUUUCUAGCUGCACUGUUGCACCGGUGCAAUAAGUUAAAGUAAGACAAGUAUAUUUUUUCUCAUUCUAACUUAUUGCACCAGUGCAACAGUGCAGCUAGAAAGAACAGACCAACUGUGCUUGCUGGAAAGUAUACAUCUUUGGAUCCUGACUAGCAAUAUAAUAGUAUUACAUAUAUAUGUAAAAUAGUGUUACCUUUUUAGUGUAGGAUUGGUGUAGGAUUAUCACGAUGGAUAUUAAACAGAAAAUUAUACACAAGUUCAACGAACAAUUGGGAUCAAAUUUAAAAAAUCUUGAAGGAAUGUACAAUUUUCAAGAUUGUCUCAAAACUGAAAAGGAUGAGAUUGAAAAAUCACUAUCAAUGGCAUCGACUACUACUCCUUCCAAAGUAAAAAUGGUGAUAGAAAAUGCAGAAUAUGUCAAUUGCGAGGUUGAACAAUUGCAAGGAAUUUGUUUGGCUCUGAGCAACAGAAUCGAAAAGACGUUUGAUAAAAACGACAAGAAUUUAGAGUUACAAGAUGUUAUCAACAAGAUAGGUCAGCUGGACAAAUCAUUAUUCUAUAUAUACUUUGUAAGAUAUAUAGAAAAUAUGAGUGACGAAAUAGAAACAUCCCUAUUAUUUGGCGACGAUCGAUCUAUGAUAACGCUAUACAUGAGCUUGACAAACAUCAGUUAUCAGCUGCAGACGUCCGUGUGUCAUCAUCUGGUCAAUUAUGUUCAUGAAACUAUGCAUUUUUGGCACAAUCUGAUCAAAGAAAGGUUAUCUAAGGAAUACAAUGAUUUAUUGAAAACAUUGAAAUGGCCCUUUUGCGGAACCAACGCCACUUUAUUGAGCACACCUUUGCCAGAGAUAAUGACGAGAUUCAAGACACUCGUCGAAUAUCUUUUUCAUUUGCAGUUACCAGAAAAAAUGAUAAAACCUGUAGUAACGUCUGCAUUGUUGACAGACUUUGCUCCAGUUAGUUUGCCGAUCGCUCUUUUAGUAAGACCUCUUCGGCAAAGAUUUAUUUAUCAUUUUACAGGAGCCAAAUUAACAAACCGUCAAGACAAGCCAGAGUGGUUUUUUACUCAGAUAUUAACGUGGAUUAAAGAUCACGUUCAAUGGAUUCAAAAGAACAUUCAACCAAUAGUGAAUUCUAUAGGUUUCGAACACUUGGAUAUAAAGGUCGAAUUUAUGCGCGCUUUAGUUGAGUUAGCUGUUGAAAAGCUUUAUUCCGAAUUGUCCAUAGUGCAAUAUGAUGAUACUCUGCUUGCACAUUUAGUAGAUGAAGCUUUGGGAUUUGAGAGAGAGCUACGAGAAACUUUGUUGUAUCCUCAAACUCAGCCCGCUACUAUUUUUGUUCUCACACAAGCCCACAUUUUUGUAAAAUGGAUAAACAUGGAGAAAAAAUACGCGACUGAAAAAAUGGAUGCAAUAUUAAGCUCAAAUACAGCAUGGGAAAGACUAAUGGGUCCUGAUAUAGAUGACAUGAAAGUCACUGAGUGUGCGGACGCCUUUCUUACGCUUCUCAUUACAAUUUCUGAUAGAUAUAAAUAUUUGCCUCAGCCUGGACAUAGGUUACAAUUUCUCGAGUUACAAUUGGAAUUGGUUGACGAUUGGCGAGUACGAUUGCUACAAUUGUUACAUGAAAAUUAUGAAGAUCCGUUAACAUCGCUCAUGCCGUAUAUUCUCAACACGUUACAUUAUGUCGCGAGUGUUUUGGAGGAAUGGGGCACGACUGUUCAUUUUUUACAGCUACAUUUCUUUAAGAAACAAUUCAAAGCUAUAGAAAAUGCUACUGAUAAAGGCAAUGACGUUAGCGAGAAUAUUGGAGAAAUAGAAGGAACCGUAUUUGAUGAAGCUGUGGUCCUCCUGCAACGAUUAGAGAAAGAGCUGAUAAACGAGAUCAGCGAUUCAGUGGCUCUAGAUAUAAAGGCAAAGAGUAGAGCUUACAGGACGGAUAAAUGGUUUGCGAUGCAGCCUUCGAAAGAAGUCUCUUCAUUAUCGGUAACACCAAGCGGUUGUUCCAUGUUCCAAGAACUAGCCAUGCGUCUUCACAUGUUGCAUAAUGUUCUAGCCUUACCAUUGUUUAAUCAAGCUUGGAAGAGUUUGGCUGCUCAGUUAGAUCAAUUUCUUUUCGAGGAAGUUGUAUUAGUGAAUCAUUUUAAUAGAGGCGGCGCCGAGCAAUUACAGUAUGAUAUUUUGAGGAACUUAUUUCCAUUAUUUAGUCUGUACAUCAACAAACCGGAGUCGUACUUUCCUUUGGCCUAAGAAUCAAGUGUCUUCACCGCCUACAGUGCUCAGCCUUUACUCGCGUAGCAGUCACUAGAACAAACGUUCCAUUGCGAGAUUACACCAAGAAGAAUAAUGUGCUGUAGUGCGCUUUUCUGGGCAGAAGGAAUGACGAUUGAAAAUUCGCCGUCGAAUCGAAUAUUGGCUCAGUGUAUAUAGACAUAGCAUGAAUCAACAAAAGUUGUGUCUGCUUAUGAAUGAAUAGAAAGAUUUAAACCAGGAAGAACAAAUUUCACUGGAAGGAAUUGAAGAAAGCGCUGCGCAGUCGUAGGUUUAUUUCUGAUAAUGAAACAGUGCACACUUGGCUUUGGGAGUUGAAAAAGUUCUUUUCUGCAGAGAUACAGAAGUUGAUUGAACGGUACAACAAAUGCAUCAUCUAUUCAUGGAGACUGUGAACAUGUUCAAUUGCUUACAGUUACUUCUAUUAAAUUCAUUAAAUGUAUUUUGUCUUUAGUUUUCGAUUCUUCCUCGUGUAUAUUGCAGCAAUAUUACAAUGUAAUAUGUAUUUAAUAAUGUAUAAUAUUUUGUAAUAUCAUGAUAA
rnacentral:misc_RNA from 1 species